rnacentral:rRNA from 1 species
CCAGACUUGGAACCGGGAGAGGUAAGAGGUACUACAGGGGUAGGAGUGAAAUCUUGGUAAUCCCUGUGGGACCACCUGUGGCGAAGGCGUCUUACCAGAACGGGUUCGACGGUGAGGGACGAAAGCUGGGGGCACGAACCGGAUUAGAUACCCGGGUAGUCCCAGCCGUAAACGAUGCUCGCUAGGUGUCAGGCAUGGCGCGACCGUGUCUGGUGCCGCAGGGAAGCCGUGAAGCGAGCCGACCUGGGAAGUACGGCCGCAAGGCUGAAACUUAAAGGAAUUGGCGGGGGAGCACAACAACGGGUGGAGCCUGCGGUUUAAUUGGACUCAACGCCGGACAACUCACCGGGGGCGACAGCAAUAUGUAGGCCAAGCUGAAGACUUUGCCUGAAUCGCUGAGAAGAGGUGCAUGG